UAUUAAUUAUAAAAUUAUUAAUGAAAUACCCUUAAAAUUUGAGAUUUUAAGCGAUCGUGUUGUUCACAUAUAUUUAAAGUCACUCUUAUAUUUAGGACGAGUAAAUUUAUUUUUAAAUAUUUGAAAGAACAAAUUUCACAAUACACACGAGAGGAUUCAAGCCCUCGACUCCAAGAAUGCGAGGAGGAGGUGUAUAUGAUUGUACCGAAGAGAAGCUUGCAAUGAUGAAGCUAGUUGAUAAAGAACAUUUUUCAAAGAUUUUCAGGUAUCGAUGGAAACAAAUUGAAUGAUAUAAUAUAAUAUAGAAAAAAUUCAUGGAGAAUGAAAGCUUGGAACGGAUUUUGCAAUUAUUUGUGCAAUUUGUCCAGAUUCUAUCGUGACAUCAAUCUCAGGAGAAAUUGAUAAAAUAGCUGAUUAAAGAAUCACUAUCCGAUGACUUAUGAUAACAAAGUGGUGCCUGGCCCAUCCUGUUCAUGUAUAUAUAUAGCAUUUUAUGUUUCUCUAUAUUAUCGAUAUAUAAUUUUGUUUUCUUCUUCCCAUUUUUCAAACGAACACGGAAUAAGACUUUUUUUUUUUUUGGUUUCUUUCUCUACGAAAGCUAAAAUGUGACCUGUCUAGUUGCCCUAAAUAAUUGUUUCUAACCCUUCUAAUAAUCUUAUAUGUAAAAAAUUUUGUCUUUAAUAACAGCUUUUGUCAUUCAUUUUCCAUCACAACGGGUAGAAUUAGGAGUUUGGUUCAACGUUAUUAUGUGAAUCAUAAUAAAAUAACUACAAAUUUGAGGAGGUACGAAAGAAAAUCAAUAACAAGAGGAGCCCAACACAUAAAAUUUUGAAAAAAAUGGACAAAUUUUAAUGAAGAAUCUUAUUUUUGAUUAUUUAUUUUUUAAUUUUAAACAUAAGUCCGUGGUCUUUUUAUCCGAACAUGAACGUACAAACACGACAUACCAACUCGAGUUACUACUCUUAAUCAUCAAUUGCAAUACUCAACAAAACAAAUAUGUAAAUAUCAAUAAGAAAGCAAACAAAAAAUUGUGCAAAAAACAAAAAAUGCACGUAUGAAUUUGAUUUCGGGUCAAAAUAGUUCAAUGAAUGGGGGCAUUUAGGCAUUACCCGGAAAUGGGCACAACCGGGGUUGGUCGAGUGUAGGUGAGCUCCACUUGUACUUCCGAAUAAUGUCAACAAUUUGCCUGCCAUAUCAAAUUGGCAUGAUGAUUUUGAUGUGUCAGGUUUCAACUAAUAUAUUUAUAUAUAUACAUGGAACCAUAUGACGUGAUUUGAUUUGCUAACUAUGAAAUUGAAUAUGCAUAAUGCCAUUCACUUGAGGCUUUUAUUGGACGUAUAUUAACACACACGCGCACACACACACGCACACUACAGUCAUUCUCCAAAAUUUGCAUGGUGACGUUUCGUCGUUUGUGUUGGAUCAUGCGUCAGAUGAGACGUUCCAUGCACAUACACAUAGACAUUUUUUGAAAGUGAUAAGUGUGUGCUAAAUUUGUAAAAUUUGUAGAAAUGACCCACUGAUCCUAUCUUAUAAUUUUCAUACUUUUGUAACAAAAAAUGAGCAUUUUGAACGAAAAUACCCUAAGUGUCACCGCGGGCAUCGGUUGCUCGUCUACUAACGUCAGUGGCGGAGCUAUUAAGAGCUGCCCUCGCUUGGUCUAGAAAUUGCAGAUAACAUAUUCUAUGUAGCUAGGUAUAAUAACAAAUUUAUACCUUGGAUUAAUUGAAUACAUAAAUUUAUGUUCAAAAUUUAAUUUAAAAUCACGAACAAAUCUCAUUCAUUUAUGAGUUGUUAGUCCAGUUACUUAAUUAGAUGUCCAAGAGCCAAUUGAAUCUAUUAAAAUAAGGAUUAAGAUCUAAAUUGAAAUUUCAUAUAAUUUAACCCAAUAUGCAACUUAACAUUUUCUUUUGAUCGAUCAUAAAUUUUGCCCUCACUGAUAUGCUUUUCUAGCUUGCCACUGACUAAUGUCAAUUAUCCAUCCACCAUUAUUAAUAUCUCACCCUCUGAUAUUGAAUGCCUAUCUGCGAGUGAUUGACCAUUGUUUAUUGAUGGCAUGCGUCUACCUGUGAGAAUUAUUAUCCAUAUUGCUAGCAAGUGACUGUUUGGAUUAGUUUAUAAAUUUUAGGUUAUUCUAACUUAGUACAUAUGUUUUGGAUUACAAAACCUAAUAAUAAAAUUAGGACGAACUGUUUGCAUAGAGCGGAUAAUAACUAUUUAGUUGUUGGACUCGAACUGUUACACAACUAAUGUCUAACCCAACUACUAAUGUCGAUCGCCUAUCUAUUGACACUAUUAAUCUAUCAUCAUUUUUGGCCUAACUCCUUUUUUUUGGGGGGGGGGGGAGACCAGUGGCGGACCUAAAUGUGGUUUAUACCCCUUAGUUUUUCAUUAAUUUAGUAAAAUAAUAGAGUUUUUAUUUUAUUUUCAUAUAUAUCCCUAACUUAAUUACCUUUAUGGUUUCAUCAAUUUAGUAUAACAAUAGAGUUUUUAUUUUAUAUUCAAAUACGUCCCUAACUAAUUACUCUUAUUUUUGCAUCAAUUUAGUAUAACAAUAGGGUUUCUAUAUUAUAUUCAAUUAGAUUUCUAACUAAUUACCCUU
rnacentral:lncRNA from 1 species